rnacentral:misc_RNA from 1 species
UUUCCGUAGGUGAACCUGCGGAAGGAUCAUUACCGAGUUAGGGUCUCUCAGGCCCGACCUCCAACCCUGUGUUUUUGUGACCUUGUUGCUUUGGUGGGCCCGCUGCGAUGAGGGGCCGCCGGAAACUCACCGCUUUGGGCCCGUGCCCGUCAGUAGCCCCCUUAAAUUCUUAAUAAACCUGUCGUCUGGGUUAAUGGAUAUACUGAAAAAAAAACAUUCAACAACGGAUCUCUUGGUUCUG